rnacentral:misc_RNA from 1 species
UCAUUAAAGAGAGAGUUCAAACUUAUUUUAAAGAUCUUUUUUUAUUAAAAGUUCUUUAUUUUGUGGUUCAGCAGCCAGCCGAAAAAUAUGAGAUAGUCCGUCAUUAAAGUAAAAAAUGGUUUGACAUUUUAGUACUCUUUUAUCUAAUAUAUAUACUACACACUUUUUAUCUCUAUAGGAGAUAAUAUUUUUAUUUGAACUGAUAAAAGCAGUUAAUUGUGACUGGUACGAGAGAGGCCACACAUUAAUCUGUUGUGCACUUAAUGUGUUUGUUGGUACGAGAGAGGCCAUACCUACACAUAUAUAUAUAUAUUUAAACUGAAAAAUACAAUUAUAAUCUCUAUCCAAUAAAUGUGGGCUUGGGGCACCCACGGAUAGGCGUGUAUACAUGUGUGGGAGCGACAUGUAUACACAAAGUGCAUAUUCUAUCCAAAAAAAAAAGAACGAAAGAAAGAACGAAAGAAAUAUGUGGACUUGGGGAACCCACUGGAUAGAAUUUUGUAUACAUGUCCCGGGGAGCAUGUAUACAAAAGUGUGUGUAUGUGUAUAGUUGAAAUGAGGAAAGAAAGGAAAAUCAUAAUAUUUAAUGACCAAGGCUAUUACGUAUGGAAUAGGAGCGGCUGAUCCACAUUUAUAUAAGCGAAUUGUAAUCCAAUAAUUGGAUUACAAUUAGGCGUUCUUAAUAAUAUUAAUGUGCCUUUAUUGGUACUUUAAUGUUAUUAUUUUAAAAUUCGAAAAGUUAAUAAUUUGAAAAAUUUAUCUUAUUACCCUGAGCGGCGGAUCACUCGGCUCGUGGGUCGAUGAAAGACGCAGCAAACUGCGCGUCGUCAUGUGAACUGCAGGACACAUGAACAUCGACACUUUGAACGCACAUUGCGGCCCUGGGAUUCUAUCCAAGGGCCACGCCUGUCUGAGGGUCGUUAAUAAUAAGAAAUUUUUUUAUUUUUUAAAUAAAAAAUUUCUUUAAAUUUUAUAUAUAUACAUUUUAUAAUGUAUAUAUAUAUUGGAAAUUUUCUGUUGUCUCGCGCGCAACAUUUAUUUGUUGUGUGUGCAACAGUAUUUCUAAAUACACUUGUGUAUAUCCUUUCUUUUGGGUAAUAGUAUUUCUCUGAUAUACUUGGUUUUUUUUUCUCUUUUUAAAGCGCAUAGUUUCAAUAUGGAAAUUUGUUAUCUGGUAUAUUGGUAAUAAAAUUCUCAAGUAUAGUAGUGAAAUGUUUAACAAAGAAGGGGAAUUUUUUUCGCAUCUAGGCAAUGUCUGGGCGAUUUUUUCCCUUCCUGUAUAAAACAAUGAUCUACGAUUCCAUUUACUUUUGAGAGUUUAACCAAUUCCUAUUAUUAUAUAUAUCAGCUGUAUUUUUAAACUGCUAUGCAGAAAUAAAAAAUAUAGUGUAAGUAGAUAUGUAAUAAUUACUCAGAUUUUCAAAUAGUACAUAUUGUAUCACAACUGUGUAAAAUAAAAAGGAUAUAAACCAGUUUUUGAGAAAUAUUUCAAUUGAAUGGCAACACAAAAACUUUUAUUUU